UACGUAGGGUGCAAGCGUUGUCCGGAAUUAUUGGGCGUAAAGAGCUCGUAGGCGGAUCGUUGCGUCAACCGUGAAAACCCGGGGCUUAACUUCGGGCUUGCGGUUGAUACGGGCGGGCUGGAGUUCGGUAGGGGAGACUGGAAUUCCUGGUGUAGCGGUGAAAUGCGCAGAUAUCAGGAAGAACACCGGUGGCGAAGGCGGUGGGCUGGGCCGGCACUGACGCUGAGGAGCGAAAGCGUGGGGAGCGAACAGG
rnacentral:rRNA from 1 species